CUUGGUCAUUUAGAGGAAGUAAAAGUCGUAACAAGGUCUCCGUAGGUGAACCUGCGGAGGGAUCAUUACACAAUAAAAUACGAAGGCCGUUCGCGGCUGGACUAUUUAUUACCCUUGUCUUUUGCGCACUUGUUGUUUCCUGGGCGGGUUCGCUCGCCACCAGGACCACAAUAUAAACCUUUUUUAUGCAGUUGCAAUCAGCGUCAGUAUAACAAAUGUAAAUCAUUUACAACUUUCAACAACGGAUCUCUUGGUUCUGGCAUCGAUGAAGAACGCAGCGAAAUGCGAUACGUAGUGUGAAUUGCAGAAUUCAGUGAAUCAUCGAAUCUUUGAACGCACAUUGCGCCCUUUGGUAUUCCAAAGGGCAUGCCUGUUCGAGCGUCAUUUGUACCCCCAAGCUUUGCUUGGUGUUGGGCGUUUUUGUCUUUGGCCCGCCAAAGACUCGCCUUAAAAUGAUUGGCAGCCGGCCUACUGGUUUCGCAGCGCAGCACAUUUUUGCGCUUGCAAUCAGCAAAAGAGGACGGCAAUCCAUCAAGACUCCUUCUCAC
rnacentral:rRNA from 1 species